ACCGGCAGCUCAAGUGGUGGCCAUUUUUAUUGGGCCUAAAGCGUUCGUAGCCGGUUUGAUAAGUCUCUGGUGAAAUCCCGCAGCUUAACUGUGGGACUUGCUGGAGAUACUAUUAGACUUGAGGUCGGGAGAGGUUAGGGGUACUCCCAGGGUUGGGGUGGAAUCCUCUAAUCCUGGGAGGACCACCUGUGGCGAAGGCGUCUCACUGGUACGAACCUGCCGGUGAGUAACGAAAGCUAGGGGCGCGAAUCG
rnacentral:rRNA from 1 species